GAUGAUCGCUGGCGGCGUGCCUAAUACAUGCAAGUCGAGCGGACCAAAGAGAGCUUGCUCUCUGAGGUUAGCGGCGGACGGGUGAGUAACACGUGGGUAACCUGCCUGUAAGACGGGGAUAACUUCGGGAAACCGAAGCUAAUACCGGAUGAUAAAGAGAAACGCCUGUUUCUUUUUUGAAAGUCGGCCUUGUGCUGACGCUUACAGAUGGGCCCGCGGCGCAUUAGCGAGUUGGUGCGGUAACGGCUCACCAAGGCGACGAUGCGUAGCCGACCGGGGAGGGGGAUCGGCCACACUGGGACUGAGACACGGCCCAGACUCCUACGGGAGGCAGCAGUAGGGAAUGUUCGGCAAUGGACGAAAGUCUGACCGAGCAACGCCGCGUGAGCGAUGAAGGCCUUCGGGUCGUAAAGCUCUGUUGUCAGAGAAGAACAAGUACCGGAGUAACUGCCGGUACCUUGACGGUACCUGACCAGAAAGCCACGGCUAACUACGUGCCAGCCGCCGCAGUAAAAC
rnacentral:rRNA from 1 species